GACGAACGCUGGCGACGUGCUUAACACAUGCAAGUCGAACGGAAAGGCCCUGCUUGCAGGGUACUCGAGUGGCGAACGGGUGAGUAACACGUGGGUGAUUUGCCCUGCACUUCGGGAUAAGCCUGGGAAACUGGGUCUAAUACCGGAUAGGAGCCAUUUUUAGUGUGAUGGUUGGAAAGUUUUUUCGGUGUAGGAUGAGCUCGCGGCCUAUCAGCUUGUUGGUGGGGUAAUGGCCUACCAAGGCGGCGACGGGUAGCCGGCCUGAGAGGGUGGACGGCCACAUUGGGACUGAGAUACGGCCCAGACUCCUACGGGAGGCAGCAGUGGGGAAUAUUGCACAAUGGGCGCAAGCCUGAUGCAGCGACGCCGCGUGGGGGAUGACGGCCUUCGGGUUGUAAACUCCUUUCGCUAGGGACGAAGCUUUUUGUGACGGUACCUAGAUAAGAAGCACCGGCUAACUACGUG
rnacentral:rRNA from 1 species